UAUGUUGAUAAUUUUACCAGUGAACUCUUAUUUUGCUUUAGCUAUGCAAUUUCUUAGAAGUUAACAUACAUUUUGUACACAAAGCACAAAUUUGGUUUCGUUUCACAUCCAUCUGUAAAUAUUCUGAGUUAAGGCAGUAAUUGAUAUACUCUCUCUCAUACCACACGCCGUAGGUUUUUCUCCGAGUAGAGAAGGAAAGAGUUAAAUAAAUGUGCUUUGGGUUUAUUUACAUGAAAUGGUGACAUUAAACUUACAAUUUUCUCGUCGUCCAUUAAUUUCACCAUCUCGGGCUUAUCAUAAUGCGGUGCCUCAGUGUUUUCCUUGAUUUUAAGGGAUCAUAACAUGACGAGUUAUUUAAACGAUAUUUUUUUUGUUCAUAGCGUGAAACGGCGUUAACUUAUAUGGUUAAAGACUUUUGGAGCGUGCCGAAAACAAUAAAAAAAAAACUGGUGGUAUGAACAGGUUGAACAAGUACAUGUCAAAGAACUUGUCACCAUGGUAAUCAAUAUCCAUCAGCUUUAUUAACAGCACAUUGACAUGUACCUGAAGUUCAUCUCACUCUCAUUAUUAGAGAACACGAAAUAAACUUAGGUUUUAUGUUGGAUAGAUUGACACUGUGAUUGGCUUAUUUAUGUGACGUCAACUUUGUAUGUAAAUUAGCUCAGAAAGGUGUGGCAAACUUUAAUAAAGAAAAUCGUAAUGCUUUGUUUCUUCUGUAGGAGUGUAAAGUAUUUUAGGACCUCCGUAAAUCUGGUAUAAUGGUAAAGAAUUCCUUCGCAAAAUUUACCGGGAUGGAAAAUAUUCUGUGGUUUAUGUUCCAUUUAAAUAUUGAGCAGGACAAACCAAGCAGCCGAGGAGACUCGAUUAAAAUUUUAGACUUAACUGAAAUCAUUUUCGCUUUUCACAUUUUCGGCUGAGGAUGAGCAUUCACGAUGAGAAGACAGAUUCCCAACAACGAUAGAAAAAGAUUUUGGACUUUUCAAGGUGGUUAGAGCUGCGAAGACGACGGUCGGCAUAAGGCGGGAAAAUAGAUCACCCUAAUUCCUCUUUGUCGGGGCUUUCAUAUUGUGCUUGUAUGGACCCUCGAAAUGGAGGUAACGACCUUUUUUAACCUUAUGACGUAACAUACUGUAACCGACGGAUGAAACAAAUAGCAGAGAUUCACCACAAAGACUCUUGGGAAGAACCAAUGAACAAAGCCCUGACGACUUCUCAUCAGUCUCUGACAAACGGCUUGGACUAACUUGACAUCUCGGACGACUGACGUAAACACGGACAGUUAUGUCUGGUCGGCUAAUGUAAAGUUGACAAAACGCUGAAAUGCUGUGGAAACGCAGAUACGUAUAACACUUCUUACUUAUUCUGACGCGAACUGAGACGCCCGCGAGAAAUUGCCUGAGGAGGAGUUUUUGCCUAUUUGGUUAAAAAAAAAAUUAAUGAUGGUGAUCAUUUUUAUUUUAAUCACACUUCGUCAAAAAAUGUUGAUUUUUGAAGAUCUUAGGUGUCGAAGAGGGUGAAACAACCCUAUGCCAUAAUUCGUGUCGAAAAGGCUUCGAGCAACGCUAUCACUAAAAAAAAUUCAGUUUGCCAGCAGCGAGAAGCACUUGUGAGAUUGAAACUGAUAUAACUACCACAUUCAUCAACUAAAUUUAAACUUUUAAAAACUUUUACAUUUUGAGGUCAGGGUUCAGAAUAUGAUCAUAUGACCACUGUUGCUAGCAAAUACUACAUGUUGCACACGAUUCUCACUCAGAGUCAUGCAGAUAGUUUUUCUCGGGCAAUUGAUCACGGCGUUCAACACAAAGCUCACCACUAUAUAGACUUAAAUGCGUUUUUACCAUCUUGUGUAAUACGAAGGCGUUAUUUGUUAAGUUGUCUUAUGUAGAAGAGUGAAAAGCGUUGUUUGUUUCCGUAUUGUCAGUGAUGUGUUGUAUCCUUCAGUAAGAUCACUGUGUGUAUGUAGGUGUUUGUGUACACGGCUGUGUUGUGAUUUAAGUGUAGGUGAACGAACACCGUCUGUCAGUUUGGGUGAUUGUUUUAUAUCUAUUUGAUGCUCCAUUGUGUGUUUCCCUUUAAACAGUUUGGUGUCAAUGCAUAUUUAAUUU
rnacentral:lncRNA from 1 species